GACGAACCGUGCGAACGUUGUUCGGAUUCACUGGGCUUAAAGGGCGCGUAGGCGGGUCAUCAAGUCGGUGGUGAAAUCUUUCGGCUUAACCGGAAAAUUGCCUCCGAUACUGGUGGUCUUGAGGGGGAUAGGGGCAUGCGGAACUUCGGGUGGAGCGGUGAAAUGCGUAGAUAUCCGAAGGAACGCCGGUGGCGAAAGCGGCGUGCUGGAUCCCUUCUGACGCUGAGGCGCGAAAGCCAGGGGAGCAAACAGG
rnacentral:rRNA from 1 species